rnacentral:rRNA from 1 species
ACUCGGUCUCGCGAAUGCUCUAGAUUANAGUUGAUCAUGGCUCAGAUUGAACGCUGGUCGGCAAGCCUAACACAUGCAAGUCGAGCGGUAGCACAGAGAGCUUGCUCUCGGGUGACGAGCGGCGGACGGGUGAGUAAUGUCUGGGAAACUGCCUGAUGGAGGGGGAUAACUACUGGAAACGGUAGCUAAUACCGCAUAACGUCGCAAGACCAAAGAGGGGGGACCUUCGGGCCUCUUGCCAUCAGAUNUGCCAGAUUGGGAUUAAGCUAAGUAAGGUUGGGGGGUAACCGGGUUCAACCCUAAGGCGGAC